GAUGAACGCUAGCGGCAGGCCUAAUACAUGCAAGUCGAACGGGAUCCAGAUCAAAGCUUGCUUUGGUCUGGUGAGAGUGGCGCACGGGUGCGUAACGCGUGAGCAACCUACCCUUGUCAGGGGGAUAGCCCGGCGAAAGUCGGAUUAAUACCGCAUGACAUCAUUGAGAGGCAUCUUUCGAUGAUCAAAGAUUUAUCGGACAAGGAUGGGCUCGCGUGACAUUAGCUAGUUGGUAAGGUAACGGCUUACCAAGGCUGCGAUGUCUAGGGGCUCUGAGAGGAGCAUCCCCCACAGUGGUACUGAGACACAGACCAGACUCCUACGGGAGGCAGCAGAAAGGAAUAUUGGUCAAUGGACGGAAGUCUGAACCAGCCAUGCCGCGUGCAGGAGGACGGCCCUAUGGGUUGUAAACUGCUUUUAUACGGGAACAAACGUCGGUACGUGUACCGGUCUGAGUGUACCGUAAGAAUAAGGAUCGGCUAACUCCGUG
rnacentral:rRNA from 1 species